rnacentral:tRNA from 1 species
UCGGGAUAGCUCAGUU